UAUCUCUGUAGAGUCUGCAUAUCAAUAAGCGGAGGAAAAGAAACUAACUAGGAUUCCCUUAGUAACGGCGAGUGAAGCGGGAAGAGCUCAAAUUUGAAAUCUUCAAGGUUUUACCUUGACGAAUUGUAGUUUAAAGAAGUGUUUUCUGUUGGUGUUUUGGUAAAAGUUCUUUGGAAUAGGACAUCAUAGAGGGUGAGAAUCCCGUAUUUGACCAUUACUUCCAGCGUUGUGUUACACUUUCAAAGAGUCGGAUUGUUUGGGAAUGCAGUCCAAAAUGGGUGGUAAAUUUCAUCUAAAGCUAAAUAUUGGCGAGAGACCGAUAGCGAACAAGUACCGUGAGGGAAAGAUGAAAAGAACUUUGAAAAGAGAGUUAAACAGUACGUGAAAUUGUCAAAAGGGAAGCGUUUGACACCAGUGUUGUUUUCUCGAAAAUCAAUUAAAAAAAGUUGGAUUUUGUAUUGUUAAGACCUUAUCAGCUUACUGUACUCUUUUCUUGCUUUUUUAAUGCACUUUUCGUUUAACAAGUCAACAUCAAUUUCUUUUGUUGUAAAAGAGUCAUUGGAAGGUGGCUUCCACUUCGGUGAAAGUGUUUAUAGCCUUUGGCUUCUGCAAUCGGAGAGAUUGAGGUCUGCAGCGUAGAUCCUUCGGGGCUAGAUACGUAGAUGCUAAGUUAUAGUUUUUUAUAGACAACUUGUUGACUAUAAUUAAUCAUGUAGCUUACUCGUUUGCGCUAUUUUACCUACGCUUAGGAUGUUGAUAGUCACAGCGUGUAC
rnacentral:rRNA from 1 species